rnacentral:lncRNA from 1 species
AAUCACAGCUCACUGCAACCUUGAACUCCUGGCCUCAAGCAAUCCUCCAGUGUGGGCCUCCAAAAGUGCUUGGAUUACAGGUGAAAGAAGAAAAGAAAGAACACUACUGGAAAGCUUUUGGAAUUUCUACAUAGGUAUACGUGAUGACAUUAAUAGAAUUAUGCAACUUUAUUACCUCCCAUAUUUCUUGAAAACUUUUAUUUUGUUUUGACUGAGUUGAUGUUUAAGCAUUGUGGCUACACUCAGCCAGUAGGAGAAGUCACUGCAAAAGACAUGAAUCUAUACCAUUGAAUUUGGCUUGUGCGUUCUUAAAAGAACCUUGGGGUCACUUAUAACGUGUUCCCUUGCAGUUAAAAUAGCGUUAGUUGUGACUACAUUAGCAAACGGAAGGACAGUUGUGCAAUUUUUACCUGUCAAAUCCUAUGAUACUUUCCAGGGGAUGAAGCAGAGGAGAGAUCAUACCGAUGUUGUUACGGUUUGCUGAGUAAGUAAUACUGCCAAAGCAGGCUAUUUCGUCAGGGCGAGUUAAAUGAGGUAAUAAAUGGAAACUGAUGGAGCUUAUGACAAAUGUGAAGAAGACACACAAGAUUUUCUCAAAGAAAUACAGUCAUUCUUGUCUGAGUUCAUUUAUGCUGCUAUAACAAAAUGUACCAUAAACUGGGUGGCUUACAAACAAUAGAAAUUUAUUUCUCACAGUUCUGGAGACUGGGAAAAC